AUGAGAUCCCAGGGCUCAGCAGCACUGGCGGUGCUGGUGGUGCUUCAGGUGCCCUACACAAAGGCUGUAUUGACCCAGGCGGCCUCGGUGUCAGUGUCUCGAGGAAAUGCUGCUAAACUGUCCUGCACCUUGAGCGCGGGCAGCAGCAUCAGUAGCGCCCACGUGAGCUGGCUGCAGCAGAAAGCAGGGAACCCACCCAGAUACCUGCUCUCUUGUAAAGAUGAAUCCAGCGAAAGGCUGGCCUCGGGGGCCUCCAACCGGUUCUCGGCUACCAAAGAGGCCUCCACUAACACCUGUUAUUUAGCCAUCUCUGCAGUCGAAGCAGAGGAUGAGGCCAGUUAUUACUGUCUAACAUCGAGUGGUGGCGAGUAA